UACGGGGGGGGUAAGCGUUGUUCGGAAUUACUGGGCGUAAAGGGCUCGUAGGCGGCCAACUAAGUCAGGCGUGAAAUCCCUCAGCUUAACUGGGGAACUGCGUCUGAUACUGGAUGGCUUGGAUUCGGGAGAGGAAUGCGGAAUUCCAGGUGUAGCGGUGAAAUGCGUAGAUAUCUGGAGGAACACCGGUGGCGAAGGCGGCAUUCUGGACCGAUAUUGACGCUGAGGAGCGAAAGCCAGGGGAGCAAACGGG
rnacentral:rRNA from 1 species